UACAGAGACUGCAAGCGUUAUUCGGAUUCACUGGGCGUAAGGGUGCGCAGGCGGUUGGGUGUUUCAGAUGUGAAAUCCCGAGGCUUAACCUCGGAACUGCGUCUGAAACUACUCGACUAGAGUACUGGAGAGGGUAACGGAAUUCACGGUGUAGCAGUGAAAUGCGUAGAUAUCGUGAGGAACACCAGAGGCGAAGGCGGUUACCUGGACAUUUCCUGACGCUGAGGCACGAAAGCCAGGGGAGCAAACGGG
rnacentral:rRNA from 1 species